AAAUUAUAUAAGAAUUAAUAAUUUUUCUCUUUUAUUUCUUCCUUUUUGUGCUGAUAAUUGGAAUUUUAACAUCAUUUAAGUUUUUAUGCAGAAAAUAUUAAAAGUUGAUGAAUUUAUGAUGCUUAGUGAAUAAUUGGCAGAGAAGAACAAUGUAAAGCCCAAGAAGCAAAUUGAAGAUCUAAAGCUACUCGCUUAGCGUGUCUCAGGUGCUUAGCGUGAUGUGCAGGCUCAGUGGGAAACUCUCGCUUAGCGCCAGUAUAAUUCGGGAAAAUGAAGGAUAAUUUAGGAAAACAUGCUAAUUCAAGAAAGAGGUGUGCUUAGCGCGAGUCACACGUUAUGUGCAAGGUUACUGCCAUCCUCGCUAAGUGCGGCAAGUGCGCUUAGCGCGAAGGAUGCGUGAAAACUAAGUUGAUUUGCACAUAUAAAAGGAGAGAGAAGAAGAAAACAACACGUAGAAAAUUCAAGAGCAUACGAUUUCUUAUAGAAGGCACAGGCUAGAAGAAGGAGAAGCAAACAUUAGAAGUCAUUCCUUCCCUCCAUUCCCUUUCUCAAUUUCCCCCUUUACUAAAUAUUCUCCUCUUGCAAUUGUAAAACCUUCUAUGACAAUGAGAGGCUAAACCCCUCUUUGUUGGGAACUUGGCAACCAACUACUUUUGAUGAAAUUCUCUUCCUUUCUAUUUAAUAUUAUUACCUUUUGCAUUAUAUUUUCUUGUGCUUAAUGUUAUUGUUU
rnacentral:lncRNA from 1 species